rnacentral:rRNA from 1 species
UACUCCUACGGGGAGGCAGCAGUAGGGAAUCUUCGGCAAUGGGCGCAAGCCUGACCGAGCAACGCCGCGUGAGCGAAGAAGGCCUUCGGGUUGUAAAGCUCAGUCACUCGGGAAGAGCGACCUAAGGAGUGGAAAGCCUUAGGGGAGACGGUACCGAGGGAGGAAGCCCCGGCUAACUACGUGCCAGCAGCCGCGGUAAUA